CCCUUAGAUGUUCUGGGCUGCACGCGCGCUACACUGAUGCACUCAACGAGUUUACGACCUUGCCCGAUAGGGUUGGGUAAUCUUUUUAAAAUGCAUCGUGAUGGGGAUAGAUUAUUGCAAUUAUUAAUCUUCAACGAGGAAUUCCUAGUAAGCGCGAGUCAUCAGCUCGUGCUGAUUACGUCCCUGCCCUUUGUACACACCGCUCGUCGCUCCUACCGAUUGAGUGCUCAGGUGAAUAAUUCGGACUGCAGCAAUGUUUGGAUCCCGAACGUUGCAGCGGAAAGUUUAGUGAACCUUAUCACUUAGAGGAAGGAGAAGUCGUAACA
rnacentral:rRNA from 1 species